rnacentral:lncRNA from 1 species
UAGACUAGUCUACUCGAGCUAUCAAAAAGAAACUUCUAAAAUAACAAAGGACUAUAGGGUUGUAUAAGUUCUUAUAGCUUGAAAUUUGAAAAGAAAAAACCCAUAAUAAUUGAGGAGUGUAAGAACAUCUUCCAGAUGAUCCCCAACUAACACACCAUAAAUAUAUCACACAGCCAGAAGGUGAAGUGCAAGUCGCACGUCAAAAGAAAAAAACAUGACUCAUUGAAGGAUCUGCAAACCCUUGACAAUGCCCUUUUUCAGAUUCAUUCUUCAGUGGACUCAACCUAACCACCUAUGUAUGCUACAACCAUGAAAUGAAAGGAUUUAAUCAAAAGUACUAUCGGAUGAAAAAAGGAACAAAGGGAAAUACCUACUUUGGAACAAUGGAGGCUUGAUGUAGCGCUUAACAAUAAAAUAAUCAUUUGAACCGAGUUGGAAGAUUACCCAUAGGAGGAGAUGAAAAAUUGGCAGCUCCAAAGACUUCACUCCAAAAAUAUUUUCGAGUCCUUUCAAACCACAAGAGAUGAGUGUUAGUUACUCUUCUGAUAGACCAACACUCCCCUUAUCUUAGAGUAUUUAGGAUGGAUCAAC